rnacentral:rRNA from 1 species
UACGUAGGGUGCAAGCGUUGUCCGGAAUUAUUGGGCGUAAAGAGCGCGUAGGCGGCUCGGUAAGCCGGAUGUGAAACCUCCAAGCUCAACUUGGAGCGGCCAUUCGGAACUGCUGUGGCUAGAGUCUGGUAGGGGAACACGGAAUACCUGGUGUAGCGGUGAAAUGCUUAGAUAUCAGGUGGAACACCAGUGGCGAAGGCGGUGUUCUGGGCCAGUACUGACGCUGAGGCGCGAAAGCGUGGGGAGCGAACAGG